UCCUUUCACGCAUACAGCAGCUUGGGAAUUGGAUUAGCAAGGAGUUCACUCGGUGCACCAAGAGGAGAACACGUCCAGCUGCCCUUCUUCAAACGUGACGCAUCAAAUGGGCUUCAAACUGCAACAUGCCCAACGUUCCACACGUCCAGCUCUCCAUCAAGCACGCUGCAGCACUUGAUUCUAUCACUUGGGCUGGAAAGAAGCUGGAAGCAUCAUAGACUUGCAUUGAAGAAGGAAAGCAUCACUCACGGCCCACAAGUUGCAGCACCUUGGUCCAGCAGCUUUGAAAUAACACCACCCGAGGGGUACACCAGCAAGCUUGGACAGCAGGUUCAGCGUGGCAGCACUAGCCCAUUGAGUUUUAUUUCAUCCAGCACGUUACGGGACCAACUCUCUACGUGACAGCAGCUUAGGAAGACCUAACCAAAUUCAUUCAACAGCAGCUGGCACCGAGAAUGGAGGUGUAGAAAGUAUUGCAGCCCACGUAACGGCAGUAACAGGCCCAUGCAGAGGAGAGUGUCUAUCAUGUAGGGCACUGUUACAUAGAGAUCUGGGGAUUGCUACCUGGGGGACCAGCGGACACGCUCAUCUUUUGGGGGAACCAUGUUUCAAAUCUAUGAUUGUGGAUGAAUGAGGGGAAUGCACUGUCAGCCGCCAUUUUAUUUUCUUUUUGGCUCUCUUUGAAAAACGUUGUUACCAUCGUCGGUAUAAUGGAUAAGCAGAAUUUUUCUUUCCUUUUUUUGAAAGCACCGUAGAGAUUUGAUUCUUUAUUUUGAAUAUGCAGUCAGCGCAGUCCAUAUAGGAUAGUUUUCUUAUCAAUUGCAUUUCCUUUGCUUACAUUUAGAAAUGAGAACGGUGCAAGGAGGACUU
rnacentral:lncRNA from 1 species